AACAAGGUCUCCGUUGGUGAACCAGCGGAGGGAUCAUUAGCGAGUUAAUUACAAACUCCAAACCCAUGUGAACAUACCUACUGUUGCCUCGGCAGGCCGUGCUGCGCGGCUGGAUCGCCCACCCCCCGCGUGGGUAGCUACCCUGGAGUAGCUACCCUGUAGCGGGAGCGGCCCGCCCCGCGGCGCGCCAACAGGCCUGCCGAAGGACCCCUAAACUCUGUUUUGCACCUGUAUCUCUGAGUUUAUUAUACAAAUAAGUUAAAACUUUCAACAACGGAUCUCUUGGUUCUGGCAUCGAUGAAGAACGCAGCGAAAUGCGAUAAGUAAUGUGAAUUGCAGAAUUCAGUGAAUCAUCGAAUCUUUGAACGCACAUUGCGCCUAAUAGUAUUCUGUUAGGCAUGCCUGUUCGAGCGUCAUUUCAACCCCCAAGCCCUAUUUGCUUGACGUUGGGAGUUUACGGAGACGUAAUUCCUCAAAUAUAGUGGCGGAGCUAGGUCGUGCUCUAAGCGUAGUAACCAAAUUCUCGCUUCUGAAGCCGGCCCGGGUCCUGCCGUAAAACCCCCUAUA
rnacentral:rRNA from 1 species